UUUCUCAUUUUUACAGAUUUGGCGUAGUAGGGUUUGGUAUGAGAAGCAAGGGAUUGUCACACAGUGAGCAAUGCUAGCUGAUUGAUUGCAAAACCAAUUCCAAGAACAAGCCCUCUUAACUUUCAAGAUUUGAUACUUCCUACAUUUCUUUAGA